rnacentral:rRNA from 1 species
GUUUCGUAGGUGACCUGCGGAAGGAUCAUUAUUGAAUUUUUUGGUGGUGGAUUGUUGCUGGCCUUUGGGUAUGUGCACAUCCUCCUCUGAUUCUAUUCAUCCACCUGUGCACUUUUUGUAGGAGUUCUUUCAUCAGGUUUUGAACAGGUGCUCAUUACGAGUUAACUUGGGAAGGACUAGUUGAAAAGACUUCUAUGUUCUUAUAAACUAUUGAAGUAUGUUAUAGAAUGAUUUUGUUAUUGGGACUUUAUUGACCCUUUAAACUUAAUACAACUUUCAGCAACGGAUCUCUUGGCUCUCCCAUCGAUGAAGAACGCAGCGAAAUGCGAUAAGUAAUGUGAAUUGCAGAAUUCAGUGAAUCAUCGAAUCUUUGAACGCACCUUGCGCCCUCUGGUAUUCCGGAGGGCAUGCCUGUUUGAGUGUCAUUAAAUUCUCAACUUUAUAAGUUUUUACUUAUUAAAGCUUGGAUAUUGGAGGUUUGCAGGCGUUUGUCAGCUCCUCUUAAAUUUAUUAGUGGAACCCUGUUUUGUUGGUUUUCAACCUUGGUGUGAUAAUUAUCUACAUUUUGGUUUGUAAAUCUUACAAUAAUAAAGCUCUAUUGGUUUGGGUUGUUGCAUUUUAGUAUGCUCAAUCUGUUCUACUCAUUGGAAGAAAAAGGGAAGGUCUGCUUUCUAACUGUCUUUAUUGACUAUAUAUAACUUAUUUGCUUGACCUCAAAUCAGGUAGGAUUACCCGCUGGAACUUAAGCAUUAUCA